GACGAAGGGGGCUAGCGUUGUUCGGAAUCACUGGGCGUAAAGGGUGCGUAGGCGGGUCUUUUAAGUCAGGGGUGAAAUCCUGGAGCUCAACUCCAGAACUGCCUUUGAUACUGAAGAUCUUGAGUUCGGGAGAGGUGAGUGGAACUGCGAGUGUAGAGGUGAAAUUCGUAGAUAUUCGCAAGAACACCAGUGGCGAAGGCGGCUCACUGGCCCGAUACUGACGCUGAGGCACGAAAGCGUGGGGAGCAAACAGGG
rnacentral:rRNA from 1 species